AGGAGUGUAGCUCAGCUGGUAGAGCAUCGGUCUCCAAAACCGAGGGCCGGGGGUUCGAACCCCUCCACUCCUGCCA
rnacentral:tRNA from 3 species